CCUGUUGUCAACACCGCUGCUCUCUCUCGAGCUCCAGCCUCAUUACUGUCAAUGUGUUGGGGUGACAAGGAGGCUUGUUUCCCUACAGUCUCAGGUCAGAACUACCCCCACUGCCUCCCCACCCCGAGCAUCACUGGAGAUUCAGGGUAAACACAAGCAAGCAAAUUUAAACGUGCAGCUCUUAAAAAAAAAUGAAAUUCAGCUCCUGCCUUCAACCCCUCUCGACCUCAAGUUUUGACUUGUGCGCUGUUAAAAAGGAUCUCACAGAGCCAAAGCUUCCUCAAGUUUUUCUGCUACGUUCACGGGGGAGCCUGCGCAGACUUUGAAGGUUGCCAUGGAACUUCAACAGCCAACCCAGAGAAGCGGAGAUGGCAGCCCACACACGCAGACAUCCCACCUCUUCCCUCUCCCACCCCCAGCCCUGCCCGCCCUCCCCAGAGCUGAUGCUGUCACGCUGCCCAUUCAGAUGGGCACUGCCAGCUGCGGUGGGCCCUCCGCCCGUGGCCUUGCAUGGACGUCUUCAGCUGGCUGCAUUCUCGAAAUGGCUCGUCUGCUGGCCCCUCACCUGGCCCCCCUGUUGCCCCCGGGACCCCAUCGUCCCUUCCCCACAUUCAUGCAGAGCCCACAGGGACCUUUCUCCCCGCAGGUCAUCCAUGGAUUUUCCCUGGAUUUGUGAGCCAGGGGCCUGCAGGCUUAUGCACCAACUAUAAAGCUACAGCCACAAAUUUUGAGGCCCCCAGACUUUCAGGUUCCUUUUUUUUUUUUCUUUAAAGCAAAUGAAGUCCCCCUCUGAGCUCCCGUGUUCAGGAAACUGGACCAGCAUCCUUGUGAAGAGCAGCCUGGGAUCCGCAGGAGUUAGAGCCAGGAAAGCUGAUUGAGGGGAUACUUUCUACAACUCACUAGCUGUGGGCCUCAGGCAAGGAACUUAACCUCUCUGAUCCCGAGUGCCCUGGUGUAUAAAGUGGAAGUGAUGGCGCGUACACACGCACACACACACACACACACCCCAAGAUAACAGGUUAUAGCGCUUGGAAAUCCAAGGCAGAGAAUCAACAUGACCUAUUAGCACUAUUAUCUAAAAGAGAAAGCCAGAAUAUUCUCACGUUUCUGUUUCUCUGAAAUCUCUCCUCCUCGAUAAUUUCCUCUUGAGAGGUCUGUUUGGUUAUCAGUCGCCAGAAGUCACGGGCUACGGCAGUCCCAGCCAGGGAAUGGCAGGCCCAGGCUCCGAGUAAGGGCUCUGCCACCUCACUCACUGAACCCUGCAAGCACCCGGAAAGCGAGGGCUCUCACAUCCCCAUUUUACAGCUGAGCACACUGAGGCCCAAGCAGGAAGAGAACACGCUGGGCGAUGUGGGAAGCCCCCAGGAGCAGCAAGAAACUCUAAACUGUCAUAUAUAUGAAAAUUAAAAAUGAUGUUUAGAAUUCAGGCUUAGGGCACUUUCGAGACAUUUCUGAAGGCUGUUCAAACUUUCUCCCAAGUCCACUUCAUGUCAGGGCUUGUGGGAUGGAGUAAGUGGGGGAGAGAGUGAGUGGGCGCUGGUGUUUGUCAACUCACUUUCCUGCUUUUUCCAACCCCAGCCCUGGCCCCCUCCCAUCGGUCCAGUGGAGGCCGAGGGAUCCUCCUGCCAAUGGCUUUGAACUUGGCCCCUCGGGGGAAGCAUGUACAAGCAAAUGAGUCUCUUUCGGGUGGGUUUGCAGUUUUGUUCCUCCAGUGAAUUCUUUUCUUAUUUUCAUCCUCCUUGAAUCCUUCCCAACCAGCUGAAACCUUCUUAUUUUCUCCUCUUCUUUGCCUGAGUUGAAUUAACUUAAUGAGGGCACCAGCUUUGGACGAUGCUGGGAGAUUCUGAGAUGCCGAACACGCCUCAGGAGACUGGAAGAGAGAGUCGGAGGCUCCCCGCCUGCACUUAGGAAGCGGAUUGCUCAGAACACGCUUGCUCACUGUUAGCCGUUUAUAUCCUCGGCUCUAAACCUCCAUCUCCAUUUUCUUCAGUUCUGCCAGUUGUGCCAGGCAGGGAGCUAGAUACCAGGGACCUGGGACGAGCCCACGUGGAUGGAGAGCAGCUGGAGACACAGGUAUGAGUGGACAGUAACACCAGAAACACGCAAUGACAGGGUGCAAAGAAUGUCACCAAGAGUUAGUAGCCUGGAAAACUGCCUUCUUUCUGGAGUAUUUUGGAGGACGGCGAAUAGCAGCCGUCUUUAAAACAAAGAGUCUUUAAGACAAGAGUAAGUUGGCUUUUUAAAAUACUGUUUUGGAGUUCCCGUUGUGGCUCAGCGGUAAAGAUCCUGACUAGCAUCCAUGAGGACGUGGGUUUGAUCCCUGGCCUCGGCGGGCUGAGGAUCGGUGUGGCUGUGGCUGUGGCUAUGGCUGUGGCUGGCAGCUACAGCUCCGAUUUGACCCCUAGCCUGGGAACCUCCAUGUGCUGCGGGUGUGGUUCUAAAAAGAAAAAAAAAAAAAAAAAAAAAAAAUUGUUCUGUUUGAAAUCAAGUCUCUUCCUCACCCCAGCCAAUGGUGGGCUCGAAUACCCUUUUUGUUCUCAGACUGCCUUCUCUGGUCCCCAGUGCUCAGCCCUGAGCUGGCUGCAGGACACACUGAGGCAUCUUGUAGAAUAAUCGCUUCUAGAAUUCACCCUAAAGCUGCAAGAGCUGAGCUCUCUAUAAUUAGACAUAUUUUCCAGUUUCUCCUUGGGUCACAGAUGUGCUGCUUUCUAUAUCCGCUUGUCAAAAAGACAAACCUUUCAGUGUCAGGAAGAAAAGUACAGAGAAAAAAAAAGAAGUAAGAAAGAAACCUCGCGACCAGCUUCUGCGUUGGCUUCUGACUUUUCAGAAACAAAUGGUAUCUUCCCCGGGAGUGACUGGCAACCACUCCGACGACUUCACCCAAUGACACUCCUUCCUUUAUUUAAAAAACAAAAAUGCAAGCAUUUAGUUGUCCUUGGCUACCACCAAACGUCUCUAAAUAUUUUAUUGCAUCUCAAAACACUGCAUUGGCAAGUUCAAGUCGAAAGGAAAGAAACAACUGUACUGGGAGUUUUGCGAAGUGCAGCGGUGGAAUUAUGCAAGUUUUUCUUCCAUGUGAGGUCGCCUCUGAGGACAGGCUCAUUUUGAGCAUAAAUGGUGGUACUUGGAAGACAGAAGACUGAAUUGCAAGCUGUGCUGGCUUCAAGGAGCCCUGCCAUCUUCUUCCGUCCAGGGCCACCAAACAAGCAGUUCCUGGAGGGGGGACCCAUCCCCAAGGGAGGUCGCCAGGUGGUUUUGGCAUCAGAGAGCACAGAAACACACACCGACAGAGUUACUCCUUUGUAACCUUCUGGCUCAGCCAAGGAGAGUCUCUGCUGGGGGCUGGCCAACUUUUAACGCGUCCCCAAAGCUGCCACCACCCCUUUUUAAUAAAGAGAGUGAGCGGAGAGGCUACGGCAUCCAACAGGAAUUUAAUAACAUGGACUUACGUUCCCUUUAUGACCGCCUUCUGCAUGGGGCCAAUAAUACCGGCUUUUCCCUUUACGAUGGUGACUUAAAGUUUCCUCUUUGAAGAAAGGAAUGUUUUCAAAAACGUGUAAAAAUGUAAACGAAAAGAUUAAGUAAAUAAUAGCACAGAUGUGGUCGGUGGGUUGCCCAUGACAGGUUUGGGAAAGAGAACAGUCAAUAAAAACAAAAUCCAACGUGGGCCCCCUGCUUCCCCAGCGCUGCAGCUCAAACAAAAACUAAAACGAAUGCCUUUUGCAGCGUGUUGGAGGGGAAAGAGCCUCCAGAAGGAAAUUCACUAAGCUGUUAAAAGCCCUUCCCCCAGGGAAGGGGCUGGGGCGGGGGGAACAAUGUUCACUUUUCACUUUAAACACAUGUGGAGUAUUUGGAAGUUUUGCGUGGCCUAGAAAUUAGCCCUUUUGUCUAUCUCCGUUAUAAAUAUUUUUCCAGAUGGGUCGUGUGCACAGCGCCGUUGUGAUAUCUUUGGCAAGCCAAACUUGUUCAUUUCAUAGAGUCAAAAAAAAAAGAGAAAGAAUCCGUCUUUUCUUCAUAGCUUCUGGGUUUCUGAUCUUGAGUACAAUCUCCGCCAGCGCCAGGACUGUACCGUAGUGCCCGAAGUUUCUUGCAAUACUCCUGCUAUUAAUUACGUGCACGUCGUCGAUCCUUCUAGAAUUUUCUAGUUUUGCAGGUGGCGGGUGACUGGUUCCCUUUCCCUUUGCUCGCAUUUGCCACUGGGUCCAUCCUGCCUCCUCUAACCUGAACUGCACCACUGGCUCUCGGAACAGACACCAUCUGCAUCGGAAAAGCAGUUCCCGCUCACUUCCUGCACCCGAACUGGCUCGUCGGCGGGGCCUUCGGAGCACACACACGCUACGAUCUGGAGGAGUUGAUUCCCCGUCUUGUUCUUACUGUUCACACUUUCCCAGCCAGCCUGGGGCCAUCCCUUCCUCCAAGAUCACAAUAUUACGUGGUGAUGCCUUACUUCAAUCAUUUUCAAAAUAAAUGUUCUUCGAGUAUUAAAAAGGGGAAAGAGGACAGUUCCUCCUAGGGCUCCGUGGAAACGGAUUGGACUAACAUUCAUGAGGAUGCAGGUUCGAUCCCUGGCCUCUCGCAGUGGGUUACGGAUCCGGCUUAGCAGAUGUGGCUCAGAUCCCGCCUUGCUGUGGCUGUGGCUAUGGCAUAAGCCAGGGGCUACAGCCCCCACUGGCCCCCUAACCUGGGAACCUCCAUGUGCCUCGAGGGCAGCCCUGAAAAGACAACACAAAGCGGGGGGGGGGGAAGUUCUCUAAUGUUUCUCUCUAAUAUACCAAGAACUAAGAUAUGCCAGCAUCGUCAACAGAAAGUGGCUGAGGGUACCUCUGGCACUGAACCCUAGUGGGCUGGGAGGCUCCCUGAACGUCCUGUACCAGCAAGGCAGGGGGGUGGGAGGGGUGGGAGGGUGGGGACCCAGGAGCAGGUACCAUCCUGUGCCUGAAUCUUAGUGAUGCCCAUCAUGACACCACUUCACAGAGAAACAGCUCAGAGAGCUCAGCUCUUCCACCCGUGUCCGCACAGCUCCGGGCACUUGGAACGGAGCCCUUCCCUCCGCACUCAUCCCAAGCUCGUGCAGGAGCAAGAAAAACACAGCUGGCAACCCUCUCCCCACCCAGAGGAAAAUACUCAUCUUUGAAUAUGCACCUCCCUGAUGCAUAGAUAUGCAUAAACAGGUGAAUUCGAUGCUAGCCUAUAAUAUACACACAAAAAUGAGAGCCCGCUCAUCCUCUGAGAAGCAAAGGAGAUACAGCAGCAUUGACGCGGGGAGCUGGCAUCUUCGAGCAGACAAAACAAAGCAAAGAGAAUCACUCUUUCGAAGUGUUUCUGCAUCACACCCAAUAUCUGUUCAACCCCUUGCUGUUGCUUAGAGGAUGUCGAACCUUUCAAAUGCACAGCUCG
rnacentral:lncRNA from 1 species